UACGUAGGGUGCAAGCGUUGUCCGGAAUUAUUGGGCGUAAAGGGCUCGUAGGCGGUUUGUCGCGUCGGGAGUGAAAUCCACUGGCUUAACUGGUGGCUUGCUUUCGAUACGGGCAGACUGGAGGUAUGCAGGGGAGAACGGAAUUCCUGGUGUAGCGGUGAAAUGCGCAGAUAUCAGGAGGAACACCGGUGGCGAAGGCGGUUCUCUGGGCAUUACCUGACGCUGAGGAGCGAAAGUGUGGGGAGCGAACAGG
rnacentral:rRNA from 1 species